GCGCCGGUUGUCUAACGGUAGGAUUCUGCCUUGCCAAGGCAGCGGUCCGGGUUCGAAUCCCGGCUGGCGCA
rnacentral:tRNA from 1 species